GUGAAUCAUCAAAUUUUUGAACGCAAAUUGCACUCUCCUCGGAGAGUAUGCCUGUUUGAGGGUCAGCCUAUAAAAAUUGAAAUCGUUGCUGUUUCGCGGUGGCGUUCGUCGGAAAUUGGGUCAUUUUAAAUCCCUUUGAUUUAAGAGCUUUAAAAUUUUAUUUUGGUUCCAUGACCGUUGCUACGAACUAUUUCUUUCUACGUU
rnacentral:misc_RNA from 1 species